AAGGGCACCACAAGAACGCGUGGAGCAUGUGGCUUAAUUUGACUCAACGCGGGAAAUCUUACCGGGUCCGGACACACUGAGGAUUGACAGGCAAUAUUACAGAUUUGCGCUCUUUUGAGUCGUUCAAAUUUGUAUGUUAAAUAUGCUAGUCCUUUCAUGAUUAUGUGAUAGGUGGUGCAUGGCCGUUCUUAGUUCGUGGAGUGAUCUGUCUGCUUAAUUGCGUUUCACUAAGGGCCUAUAUUACUAAUGCAUGUUGCAAGCACAUUGACCCCUCAUGUUCACUUCAUCUUAAUUGAUGAAUACAUGUUGGCGCGUGUCUUUGGUUUCGCUUCGCUCAUGCCGUUAGGUCCUGAAAGCAACGAACGUGACCGCAUCCUCUUGUUGCCUUCAUUAGUUUUAAACAAACUAAAUACUUGCGUCUGUACUAAUUUCUGAUUAGCUAUUAGACCGGUAUUACGAAGGCUUUUUAAACUAGAGGGACCGCUGUUAUCUUCUUAAACCAGAGGAAGGUUGCGGCAAUAACAGGUCUGUGAUGCCCUUAGAUGUUCCGGGCUGCACACGUGCUACAAUGAUCAUUGCAGUGAGCAUCUCAUUUAUUUACACAUCGCAAGCGCGAGUCCAAUUAUUCUGUGUUGCAUCAUUUUAUUGAUGUAUACCAGCUUUAAUUGUGUAUCUCUGCGCGCGAUAAAGCCUGCUUUGAAAGUUUAGUGGGUAAUCAAUUAGAAGUAAUGAUUUCCAAGUUAUAGCACACUUAUCUACGGCAGUCCCACCCAGCUAGCCUUUUGCGCUAGACCUUGUGCGUGGGAUUGAGUGCUUUGUUCACUUACGAUUGUCUUUCAAUGCGUAAUUUUACCUACGGGUAGUUAUGUCAUUGUAUUGCUUCGUACUGUAGGUGCAAUUGUCAAUUCAUGGUGGGGACAGACCAUUGUUAAUUGUUGGUCUCGGUCUUAACUAGGAAUGCCUUGUACGGGUCUUUGGUUCAACAAACCACCCGGAAUACGUCCCUGCCCUUUGUACACACCGCCCGUCGCUCUUACCGAUGGACUUCUCUGUGAGUUUAAGGGACUGGGUCACUUUACAGACCUAUGGAAACU
rnacentral:rRNA from 1 species